GUCGUCUCCACUUCUGUGUCCCCACGUCUCUGUGUCCCCAUGUCUCUGGGUCUCCACAUGGCUCUGUUUUAAUGUCUAGGGUCUCCACACCCCUGUCUCCGUCUCCACAUCUCCAUAUCUCCUCCUCCUCAAGUCCCUGUCCUGUCCCCAUGUCCCCCAUCUCUGUCUCAUCUGUCUCUGUCUCCAUGCCCCAUCUCCCUGUCUCUGUGUCUCUGUCUCCAUGUCUCCAUCUCCAUGUCUCUAUGUCUCUGUCUCUGUUUCUGUCCCGGUGUCCGUCUCUUGGGGUCCCUUUGAUCUCACCCUGCCCCUGGCGCCCCCCUGGCCCCAUUGAUCGCUGAUCGACUGAUGGAGGGAGCGCGGCCUGCGGGGCCUGGGGCUGCAGGGCCAAACAGGGCCUGGCAGGACGGCCG
rnacentral:lncRNA from 10 species